GUACAAUAAGCUAAAUAAGGGCGUAUGGGGAAUGCCUAGGCUCUCAGAGGCGAUGAAGGACGUGAUAAGCUGCGAAAAGUUGCGGGGAUCUGCACACAAGAAUUGAUCCGCAAAUAUCCGAAUGGGGCAACCCACUAUAUUGAAGAUAUAGUAUGCAGUAAUGCAAGCAAACCCGGAGAACUGAAACAUCUAAGUACCCGGAGGAGAAGAAAACAAAAGUGAUUCCGAUAGUAGCGGCGAGCGAAAUUGGAUUAGCCCAAACCAAAGUUGUUACGGCAAUUUUGGGGUUGUAGGACCACGAUAUUUGAAGCAUAAUGAAUUAGAAUUGUUUGGAAAGACAAGCCAUAGACGGUGAUAGCCCGGUAUAAGUAAAGCGUGUGAAUCUAGUGGUAUCCUGAGUAGUGCGGGGCACGUGAAACCCUGUAUGAAACAGUCGGGACCAUCCGAUAAGGCUAAAUACUCCUGAGAGACCGAUAGUGAACUAGUACCGUGAGGGAAAGGUGAAAAGAACCCUGAAUAAGGGAGUGAAAUAGAACCUGAAACCAUACGCUUACAAGCGGUCGGAGCAGACUUGAUCUGUGACGGCGUGCCUUUUGCAUAAUGAGCCUACGAGUUACCG
rnacentral:rRNA from 1 species